AUUAAGCGACGAAAGAGGCGUCUCUUAUGGACACGCGUCGCACAUUCAUCCCUACCUCUCUCUCUCUCAUCUCUACUCAAUCGGUUUCGAUGCUGAAACUCCGUGAUCGAUCUCUCCGUAUCUGGAUGAAUCAGGCGUCGAUUCCGGUUCAUACGCCUUUUGUGGCCUUUCACAUCUCUCUCGAUGCUCUUCACUCUCUUCUACGCCAGCGUCUUUGUCACUGAGAGAAACUCUUUUGAGAAGCUCCACUUGCAGUCUUAGAUCAUACCCAGAUAUAAUCUGCAGAUCCUCAUCAUCUUCAGCUUAAUUUCUUUUGACUCUUUUGCCAAUUUAUUAGCGGUAUACGUAGUAUAGGUUGGUUUACUGAUGCACUGAGACCUGAUUCAUGCAGUACUUGUUAAAAUGGAGGAAAGAGGCGAUCAAUAACAUGAUUGAGAAAGCUACUAGAGGCAAACAAAAAAAAGGAGUGAAGGUGCUUAGCCUGGGUCUCAUGAACCAAGGGGAGGAGCAAAACAGGAAUGGAGAGGUGUUAUCUUGCAAAUGAUAUCUGCAGGUAUCGACUCUAUUACCAGAAGAGUAUGAGAAACUACAAUCAUUUGUUCCACAAGAAACCAGAGACAAAGAACAACGCUCCUCCUGUUGCUUCUUCUUCCGAUGUGAAUCUAAAGAGCAACAACAAUGGAGUCUUCACUCCUUAUGAAGCAUUACCAAGUUUCAAAGACGCCCCCAACACCGAGCGAGUUAGAGAGAGUGGACGAUUCGCUCUGAGAUCAGUGGCGGCACCAAUCCUGGUCCCAUUCUUCAGCCUUGUGCUGAUUCUGACGGUGGAGUUCAGGUUUGUCUUUCUUUUAUGGUUGUGAUUUUAAUUGUUUAGCUGUUACAUACAACAAUGAGGUUACGGGUGUUGUGUUAGGUUUGUGAGUGUUGUUUGUUGUCGUUGUGGUCAUGGGUUUGUGAGUGUUGUUUGUUGUCGUUGUGGUCAUGGGUUUGUGGGUGUUGUUUGUUGUCGUUGUGGUCACGAGUCUGUUGUCUUUUGAAUAUUUUGCUUCUUGUUGUUGUAAAAAAUAUUGUCACCAAGAAUUGUGAUCAUAAUCUCAAUCAAUUCUUCUUAUCUUC